GCGUCAUAGAGGGUGAGAAUCCCGUCUUUGGCACGGAAACCCCAGGGCUUUUGUGAUGCGCUCUCGAAGAGUCGAGUUGUUUGGGAAUGCAGCUCAAAAUGGGUGGUGAACUCCAUCUAAAGCUAAAUAUUGGCGAGAGACCGAUAGCGAACAAGUACCGUGAGGGAAAGAUGAAAAGCACUUUGGAAAGAGAGUGAAACAGUACGUGAAAUUGUUGAAAGGGAAACGCUUGAAGUCAGUCGCGUCGACCGAGACUCAGCCUUGCCUUGGCUUGGUGUACUUCUCGGCCCGACGGGUCAGCGUCAAUUUUGCCCCUCGGAUAAUGGCAAGGGAAAGGUGGCACCUUUGCGGGUGUGUUAUAGUCUCCUGUCGCAUGCGAGGGGUGGGAUUGAGGAACUCAGCACGCACCUUUGGGUGUCGGGGCUUUGCCCACGAUACGUGCUUAGGAUGUUGGCGUAAUGGCUUUAAACGACCCGUCUUGAAACACGGACCAAGGAGUCUAACAUGCCUGCGAGUGUUCGGGUGGAAAACUCGUGCGCGCAAUGAAAGUGAAAGUUGGGACCUCUGUCGUGGAGGGCACCGACGCCCGGACCAGACCUUCUGUGACGGCUCUGCGGUAAAGCAUGUAUGUUAGGACCCGAAAGAUGGUGAACUAUGCCUGAAUAGGGUGAAGCCAGAGGAAACUCUGGUGGAGGCUCGUAGCGAUUCUGACGUGCAAAUCGAUCGUCAAAUUUGGGUAUAGGGGCGAAAGACUAAUCGAACCAUCUAGUAGCUGGUUCCUGCCGAM
rnacentral:rRNA from 1 species